rnacentral:rRNA from 1 species
GGGAACGUACCCGUCGGUUCGGAAUAACUCAGGGAAACUUGAGCUAAUACCGGAUACGCCCUUUUGGGGAAAGGUUUACUGCCGAAGGAUCGGCCCGCGUCUGAUUAGCUUGUUGGUGGGGUAACGGCCUACCAAGGCGACGAUCAGUAGCUGGUCUGAGAGGAUGAUCAGCCACACUGGGACUGAGACACGGCCCAGACUCCUACGGGAGGCAGCAGUGGGGAAUAUUGGACAAUGGGCGCAAGCCUGAUCCAGCCAUGCCGCGUGAGUGAUGAAGGCCUUAGGGUUGUAAAGCUCUUUUGUCCGGGACGAUAAUGACGGUACCGGAAGAAUAAGCCCCGGCUAACUUCGUGCCAGCAGCCGCGGUAAUACGAAGGGGGCUAGCGUUGCUCGGAAUCACUGGGCGUAAAGGGCGCGUAGGCGGCCGAUUAAGUCGGGGGUGAAAGCCUGUGGCUCAACCACAGAAUUGCCUUCGAUACUGGUUGGCUUGAGACCGGAAGAGGACAGCGGAACUGCGAGU